UGAGAGUUUGCGAUAAUCUUCAUUU
rnacentral:miRNA from 15 species